rnacentral:misc_RNA from 1 species
AAGUCGUAACAAGGUUUCCGUAGGUGAACCUGCGGAAGGAUCAUUUCCAAAUGAAUGAGGGUGAUAGUACCGAAAGGUGCUAUCUCUUCUAUAUCAACCUGUUGUAUUGUAUGUCAAAAUAAGGCCCUAAUAACAAACAACUUUUAACAAUGGAUCUCUUGGCUCUU